AGAUGGCGACCGGCGCACGGGUGAGUAACACGUAUCCAACCUGCCGAUAACUCCGGAAUAGCCUUUCGAAAGAAAGAUUAAUACCGGAUGGCAUACGAAUAUCGCAUGAUAUUUUUAUUAAAGAAUUUCGGUUAUCGAUGGGGAUGCAUUCCAUUAGUUUGUUGGCGGGGUAACGGCCCACCAAGACUACGAUGGAUAGGGGUUCUGAGAGGAAGGUCCCCCACAUUGGAACUGAGACACGGUCCAA
rnacentral:rRNA from 1 species